GUGUCAUUACACCACGUGCCCCGUACUCACGAAGAGUCGCAUUUUGCAAUAUAACAAAUCAGGACAAGACUCUCUUCCUCCCCCAAACCCUAAUCAAAUGUCGAGUACUGUAGCCCCGUCUAACAACUCCAUGGAUCACACCUUCUCCUUCGACCAUCUCCCUCAACAACCAACCAUAGAGAUCCUGCUAAAACUCCCGGUCAAAGACCUCAUCAGGUCAACAUCAGUCAACAAAACAUGGUACUCUCUGGUCAACACCCCUUCUUUCAUUUCCGCUCAAAUCUCUCGUUCCAUUUCACUCUCCCAUGAAAAUGCCGUGCUCAUCAUCCCUCCCAUAAUUUCCCGCCAAAACCACUGCUCCUUGAUCUCCACCGACACUUCUUCGGUGAUCGAAAAAUUCGACAUUCCGUUUUCGACAAAGACUCGUAGUUUGAGAUUAGUUAGUGAGAUUCACGGAAUGCUCUUGUUGACUGAUUUAAACGCGGAGCAUUCUUCGAGAGAUUUGUAUCUGUGGAAUCCCUGUGUGAGGAGGCACAGAGUGCUGGUUUCCACUUGUUUUAAGAAGCGUUUGGCUGACCGGGAUGGGAGUUAUUAUUUUGUCGGGAUGGGGUUUGAUAAGGCUGGUGAUGAUUAUAAAGUUGUUAGGAUUGUUUAUGUUAAGGAUCGCGAGGGGAGGCUGUUUGGGGAGGUAGCUCCGAAGGUUGAGAUUUUUAGUUUGAGGAAGAAUACGUGGAGGAAAAUGAAAGAGCCCAGGGUUCCGAGACUUGUUUAUGAACACGGGAUUUAUUUUGGUGGUUGUUAUUACUGGUUGGAGCUGAAGCAACCGGGGACAGAGGAAGCCUAUACUUGUUGUGGUAAUAAACUUAAAAUAGUGUGGUUUGAUUUUGAAACUGAGGUGUUUGGGGAAUUCAAUGUGCCACAUGAUGUUCCCCGUGAUUUGGGGAAAUUCUCCCCUCAUAAGCUUAUGCAGUUUGAGGAUUCACUUGCUCUUUGCGUUGUGGACAUUGGAGUCCUUGAUAAAGGGGGUAUCAGGUUUCCUCAUCGUAUAUGGUUGAUGAGACAAGAGAAUGGUGUGGUCACUUGGACUCUGCGUUUUAGAGCACUACUUAAGGAGUCUGGGUAUCCUUUAGGUAUUACGAAGAAUGGAACACUGGUGAUAGAGUCAAUUCGUUCGAGGGACCUUGAUGUAACAAGCAUAGUCUCGUGUAAUUUAAAGAGCAUGAUUUAUAAAGAUCAUGGGUUUGGUAAGGCUAGGGGUCCAGACACUUCAGAGGAUGUUCUUGAACCUUCUACUGUUGUCACUUCGUUCCCGGAGAGUUUAGUCAUGUAUGAAGGAGGAAAAUUGUUGUUGAAAUGUGCAAAGUGAGCAAUUGCGAGUCUUCUUCUGACAGAAAUCUAGUUGACAGCAGCAAGGAAAUAUCAUGUUUAUUAGUGAACCAGUUUGCAGGUGUAAGAUAAGGGUUCGGAGGUCCUGAGAACUCAAGUAAGUGCAGCAGCAUAUAGAUGAAAUCAUCUAUCUUUUGGCAAGUAGUAAUUGAAGGAGCUUCUGAACUUCUUUUGGUGUAAAAUUGUUGUGACUUCUGAGCAUUUGGAACAUAAAUGGUUCAAAUCAUGUACUUGGAAUAUCUUUUGGCAAUAGUUAAGUGCUUGUGGUAAGUUCAUGAUUGUUUUUGUUUA